rnacentral:misc_RNA from 1 species
UGUGUCUGAUAUCACACAGCUGUCUUUU